AUUGAACGCUGGCGGCAGGCCUAACACAUGCAAGUCGAACGAGUGGCGGACGGGUGAGUAAUGUCUGGGAAACUGCCCGAUGGAGGGGGGUAACUACUGGAAACGGUAGCUAAUACCGCAUACCAUCGGAUGUGCCCAGAUGGGAUUAGCUAGUAGGUGGGGUAACGGCUCACCUAGGCGACGAUCCCUAGCUGGUCUGAGAGGAUGACCGGCCCACCGGGACCGGGGACACGGUCCAGACUCCUACGGGAGGCAGCAGAGGGGAAUAUUGGACAAUGGGCGCAGGCCUGAUGCAGCAAUGCGGCGUGUAUGAAGAAGGCCUUCGGGUUGUAAAGUACUUUCAGCGAGGAGGCGUUACUCGCAGAAGAAGCACCGGCUAACUCCGUGCCAGCAGCCGCGGUAAUUC
rnacentral:rRNA from 1 species